rnacentral:rRNA from 1 species
GACGUAGGGCGCGAGCGUUGUCCGGAUUUAUUGGGCGUAAAGAGCUCGUAGGCGGCUUGUCGCGUCGACCGUGAAAACUUGGGGCUCAACCCCAAGCCUGCGGUCGGUACGGGCAGGCUAGAGUUCGGUAGGGGAGACUGGAAUUCCUGGUGUAGCGGUGAAAUGCGCAGAUAUCAGGAGGAACACCGGUGGCGAAGGCGGGUCUCUGGGCCGAUACUGACGCUGAGGAGCGAAAGCGUGGGGAGCGAACAGG